UGGGGAAUAUUGCGCAAUGGACGAAAGUCUGACGCAGCGACGCCGCGUGUGGGAGGAAGCUCUUCGGGGUGUAAACCACUGUCAGGAGGGAAGAACGGCGCCGGUUCGAACAGUUCCGGCGAUUGACGGUACCUCCAAAGGAAGCGCCGGCUAACUCCGUGCCAGCAGCCGCGGUAAGACGGAGGGCGCAAGCGUUGUUCGGAAUUACUGGGCGUAAAGGGCGCGUAGGCGGCAUGACAAGUCACUUGUGAAAUCUCUGGGCUUAACCCAGAACGGCCAAGUGAUACUGUCGCGCUAGAGUGCAGAAGGGGCAAUCGGAAUUCUUGGUGUAGCGGUGAAAUGCGUAGAUAUCAAGAGGAACACCUGAGGUGAAGACGGGUUGCUGGGCUGACACUGACGCUGAGGCGCGAAAGCCAGGGGAGCAAACGGGAUUAGAUACCCCCGUAGUCCCUGAGCGGGCUGGCAAGGCGCAU
rnacentral:rRNA from 1 species